GUAUGGUGUAGUAGGCAAACACGUUAGUCUUACAAACUAAAAAUCUCUAGUUCGAAUCU
rnacentral:tRNA from 16 species